rnacentral:rRNA from 1 species
UACGUAGGUGGCAAGCGUUGUCCGGAUUUAUUGGGUUUAAAGGGUGCGUAGGCGGCCUCGUAAGUCAGUGCUGAAAUAUCCCGGCUUAACCGGGAGGGUGGCAUUGAUACUGCAGGGCUUGAGUAAAGUUGAGGUUGGCGGAAUUGACGGUGUAGCGGUGAAAUGCUUAGAUAUCGUCAAGAACACCGAUAGUGAAGACAGCUAACUAAGCUUUAACUGACGCUGAGGCACGAAAGUGUGGGGAUCAAACAGG